rnacentral:rRNA from 1 species
CCCGCUGAAUUUAAGCAUAUCAAUAAGCGGAGGAAAAGAAACUGGCAAGGAUUCCCCUAGGAACGGCGAGUGAAGCGGGAAGAGCUCAAAUUUAAAAUCUGGUGGGGUUGCAAAUCCGAGUUGUAGUCUGAAGAAACGUUUUCCAUGAAAAUCGAGGCACAAGUCCUUUGGAACAGGGCAUCAGAGAGGGUGAGAAUCCCGUCCAUGGUCUCGAAUCUUUCAUUUUGUGAUACGUUUUCUAAGAGUCAGGUUGUUCGGGAAUGCAGCCUAAAAUGGGUGGUAAAUUUCAUCUAAAGCUAAAUAUUGGCGAGAGACCGAUAGCGAACAAGUAGCGUGAGGGAAAGAUGAAAAGCACUUUGGAAAGAGAGUGAAACAGUACGUGAAAUUGUUGAAAGGGAAACGCUUGAAGUCAGUCGCGUCCGCCGGGAUUCAGCCUCACGGUGUACUUCCUGGUGGACGGGCCAGCAUCACUUUUGAUCAUCGGAAAAGGGCGAGAGGAAUGUGGCACCUCCGGGUGUGUUAUAGCGUCUUGUCGUAUACGGUGACCGGGGAGUGAGGACCGCCUUUGUAGGAUGCUGGCGUAAUGGCUUUAAACGACCCGUCUUGAAACACGG